CCCAGCUUCACUCUGCCAUUCUCCAAAAUUGCAGGAUCUCCCCUCAUUUUAAGCCAGCCUCGUGCCAACGCUCCCCAGCGUUGUCCCUGGGGGUUACAGCUUCCAAACCAACGCAACCAGCAGCACCAGACUGAUGGAAUUUGCUGGUUUAUGGCUUGCUUCUUCACCGACCAACCCCCAGUGAAAGAAAUCAGGCUCUGCAUAGGUCACUGCAAAAUCAAAUCAAAUCAAAAUCAAUUAAUCACUGAAAUUCCUUUGCACGGGGCUGGGCUAUCUCUCUGCUCUCUCAAUGCCUGAGCAGCACGAACAGUGUUGCUAGCUUUACCAUGCCCAAGGGGGAGGCAGACAGUGAUUUUUUCCAUCCAUUGGAUGAUGCAACUCAGGAGAAACACUUAUAGGGGCAAGAUGAUGAGGCUCAAAGUUCAAAAGGGUCACCCAGCUCAAAGCAGUGUGGAGAAGAGGGAUGUUCAGCAGGAAGAUAUCAUAGAAUCAGUAAGGUUGGAGAAGACCUUGAAGAUCAUCCAUUCCAACCACCCACCUGCCACCGAUGUUGCAUACUAACCAAUGUCCCCAAGUACUGCAUCUACCUCCAGGGAUGGUGACUGCUUCCCUGGGCAGUCCCUCCUUGCAAAGCCUUCCCAACCUCAAUUUCAUCCUUCCCCCCCUCAUCAUUCCGCAACUGCCUUUUGCAAGCACAGCCACCCCCCAGUGAGCUGUGAGGGGCAUCUCAAAGUGCUUGGAGAAGGAGUCGUCGUCUUUCCCCAGCAAAACGCCUUUGACAGCAUCCAGAUUUAGUAGUGGAACACAAGAGAAGCAUGCAAGCUGUCAGCUGAAUCCCAGGACAUUGGAGGAGACAGCUGAUUCCGAUGUAAACUGCUGCAAAUCUGCUGCUCCCCGUGGGCAGCACAUGGCCCUACAAGCUGGAGCUGCUGCAAAAGGCUGCGCUAACCUGUGGGUGGGUUCAGGGCAUGAUCUCAGGAAUUUGCAUUCAUCUGGGGGAUUUCUGCAAGAAUUAAGCCUGAAUAGGGCAUGUGCAUUGAUGUAUAGGAUGGGAGGUGUAACUCAGUUCAAAGGCUUCAUGCCCUGGUGAAAGGUCCCUGAGUGUGAUGGGGGACCCCGAACCCACACCAAAACCAACUCAGGAUCAAUAAAUCACCAUACAAAAAAUCCAAUUGGUGCAAUAAUAAAGGAUUGAGGUUGCAUCCCCCAAAGCAAAAGCAUGGGGGGGGGGGGGGGAGGGGGAAAUUAGAGCCUCUCCUGCCCAGAGGGUAGAUGAGCUCAAGUUAAGCUGGAUUAUACCCAAAUUGCAAUCCAGCAGCGUGGGGCAGCACCAGGGGCAAUGCACUCUGCCUUGGUUGCAAUAUAAAAACAAUAAUUUUAAAAAAUGUUCUGAAUUCGACUUUCUCCCAUUUUUCUUUCCUUUCCCCUUGCCCCCUAUCUCCUCACCAGCAGAUAGUGCUGGGGGAAGUGUUGUGUUGACACUGCUGAGCCCAUGGGAUUUCACAGCUUGCUGCAGCAAGGAAAAUAUUGACAGAGCAGAGCUGCUUUGUUAAGUCUUUAUAUCAGAGCAAAGCUGACUUUCACCCCACUCUGCAGCCACUUGUUGCUUUGGAUGGAAUAAUUUGCCCAUUGUCAGCAGCACAGGCCUUAAUAACAACGCACCUUCAGCAAGACCCCAACUCCUUUUCAUGGGAACACUGUUCUGCUUCCACGUUGCAUCACUGGAAGGGGCUCAGCCCGCUUCAGCUGAGGUUCUACACGUGUGCCCAUACAUACAACAGAGGUGGAGGGCUGGAGGAGCACUGGUGUGCCAUGGCACUAGGAUACGCUAUUUAAUUCAUUUUCAAAGCCAUAGGGGCAGCAAGCAAGCAGGGUAAUGGUAAUCUUGCUCAUUGCACUGCAGGUAUACAAAUACAUACAUAUAAAUACAUAUGCACGUUAUCUCUGGAUGCUCCUAAACAUGGGCAGGGAGGAGCAGAGAGCACCAGCUUGGUGUCAUACGAUGUCAUACAUGCAGCACCCACCACAAAGCACUCAACCCUCAAAUCCUCACCCUGCAUUUCUGCAGUGAGUUACUUUCCUCUUUUUAUUGCUCAGGUCUAUAUCCCCUUCCAAGCCUCAGCUGAGCCUAUCUUCAGAGCAGACCUUCCUUUGCAGCUGCUCAAAGUAAUUCCUCCUUUGCUAUUCUACCCUCCCCAGGGGGGCUCCUGGGCUCCUGUGCUGUUUUUGUUAUUAUUAUCAUUAGAAAUUUGUCUUUUCUUUUUUUCAAAGACUUUCCUUUAAAGGACACCCCUGGGGCAGACCACCCCUCUCUGCCUUGCUGGGAAGGGACAUGGGGACCCUUUGAUAUCCCCAACCCUUGCUGAAACAAGUGCCCCAUUCCCCAACCCCCUGCACAGAUGAAAGACCCUUUGGGGAGAAAGGUCACUGAGGGGGAAAAAAACCUGGAAGGCAUCAAAAUACUUUCAUUAAAGGUAGUGGAGGGAGAGAAAUUUUUCAGUGCUUCAGUUUUCUCAUAGCCAAUCCAUAGCACAACACCACCAUUUACCAUUGAAUCCUUUGUAAUUGCACCAUUGCACUGCUUACCACCCCACCACAGCUGCACCACUUUACAGUUUUUUUUUUUAACCGUACUUUUGACAGAGACAACACAAAAAAAAAAACCAACCUUAAAACUAUUUUCUGCUCCUCCAUCAUUUGUCUUGGAAAAUCAGGUUGGCAUCUCCCUUCAAUGUCAAACAAUGAGACACCCCCUCAUGCAGGGAGGUUUAAGGAGAACAAGGAACUACAUGCUGGUUUGGGGGCUGAAAGCCCCCAGGGGCUGCUUUGUCCUUUUCCCAGCCAGCCCCCACAGUGUGGGUUUGCAGAGCGCAUCCCUUCCCCAAAAAUAAACCCCAGUCACGGAUCAUCUCCAGCGCUGUCAGGUUGCAUUUAGAUUGCAACAGCGCUCAGCGGCUGCACCCAGGCUGAAAGCAGGCCAGGGCUGCUGCUUGCUCAGCCCUGCAUCCCAAAAAAGCAUCUGCUGGUGGCUAAGCAGCCCACACCGCCCCCCUGCCCCAAAUCCCCACUGAGCGUUGGCCCUAUAAGCCAGUCCCAAGGGAACACAAUGAGCUUCAUCUGGGGGAGCAGGUCAUUAAUUUCUUAUCUUCAUAAAGCAGGGAAGGGUCAUGAACUGCCACUGAGGUCACCUAGAGCUGGUGACAGCAGGGACAGCCUGGAUGUGGGGAAGGGUCUGCACUAGGACACCCUUCCUGCAUCCU
ensembl:lncRNA